rnacentral:rRNA from 1 species
AGCAGCCGCGGUAAUUCCAGCUCCAAUAGCGUAUAUUAAAGUUGCUGCAGUUAAAAAGCUCGUAGUUGAAUUUCGGGACCGAUAUAUCGGUCGUGCCUCGGUACGUACUGGUAUUUUCGGUUUCUACCUUCUGACGAACCUUGAUGUCAUUAAUUUGGUGUCUUGGGAAAUCAGGACUGUUACUUUGAAAAAAUUUAGAGUGUUUAAAGCAGGCUCACGCUUGAAUACAUUAGCAUGGAAUAAUGAAAUAGGACGUUUGAUUCUAUUUUGUUGGUUUCUAGGAUCGACGUAAUGAUUAAUAGGGAUAGUUGGGGGCAUUAGUAUUCAAUUGUCAGAGGUGAAAUUCUUGGAUUUAUUGAAGACUAACUACUGCGAAAGCAUUUGCCAAGGAUGUUUUCAUUAAUCAAGAACGAAAGUUAGGGGAUCGAAGACGAUCAGAUACCGUCGUAGUCUUAACCAUAAACUAUGCCGACUAGGGAUCGGAUGAUGUUAAUUUUUUAAUGACUCAUUCGGCGCCUUA